GAUGAACGCUGGCGGUAUGCUUUACACAUGCAAGUCGUACGAGAGUUUUGAACUCAAGUGGCGGACGGGUGAGUAACACGUAAGAAUUUGCCUUUAGGAGGGGGGCAACAACUGGAAACGGUUGCUAAUACCCCAUAUGCUUUCGAGUGAAACGGUUUUUCCGCCUAAAGAGAAGCUUGCGGCUGAUUAGCUUGUUGGUAAGGUAAUGGCUUACCAAGGCGACGAUCAGUAUCUGGUUUGAGAGGACGAUCAGACACACUGGAACUGAGACACGGUCCANACUCCUACGGGAGGCAGCAGUGGGGAAUUUUCCGCAAUGGGCGAAAGCCUGACGGAGCAAUACCGCGUGAGGGAUGAAUGCCUUCGGGUUGUAAACCGCUUUCAGCAGGGACGAAAAUGACGGUACCUGCAGAAGA
rnacentral:rRNA from 1 species